rfam:Sphaeroforma arctica JP610 cont1.1635, whole genome shotgun sequence.
GCUCCGAUAGUAUACUGGUUAGUACACACCCCUGAAAAGGAUGGGAAAGAAGUUCAAUUCUUUUUCGGAGCA